GCCUUGAAGAUUUGUUUUGAUAAAAGAGUUUAGAAUCCACUUUGUUUUCUAAAAUCUGCUUGAACAGACCCAUUGAGAAGGUAAAACAAAACAAGGAUGUGGCCUGCACCUGAUUUCAAGCUCGUUAUUCUGAAAUUGCGGUGGCAGGGAGAAGAAAACAAACACUUCCAAACCAAGAUGAACUACCCACAAAAUCAUUGAUGCGUCAAAGAACCCUGCCAAGAAACCUGAAAUCUCCAAGUAAUCUUGAAUACCCAACCCAAAUUUCCACUUUCUUGUUCUG
rnacentral:misc_RNA from 1 species